rnacentral:lncRNA from 1 species
AAAUGUAUAGAACUUAUCUCAACUUCAAAAAAACCCCCCUGUGGUUUCGUAGUUUCUCACUUUGCCCCCCUAUGGUUUAAAAUGUAUCAAUUUGCACCCCUGUGGUUUCUUUUUUCUCUCUUUCUUAUCAAUUUCAUUAGUUUUUUUUUCUUAAAUCAAUGAUAAAGUUAAAAUUAAAGGGUACUAAAGUGAAUAUUUGAUAAAUCUAGAUGGAUAUCUGAAGUUUUUUGUAUAUAAUUUAAAGAAAAUUAACGAAAAAGCUACCGAAAAGAUAAAAACGAAACCACUGGGGGGCAAUUUGAUACAUUUUAAACCGCAGGGGGGGGUAAAGUGAGAAACUACGAAACCACAAGGGGAUUUUUUGAAGUUUUCCCUUAGAACUUAUCUCAACUAAUAUUUAUAUUGAUUUGAUAAUCUAACCUUUAAAAAUUUUGAUUUUACUAACUAAACUUUUAAUUUAUUUAAUUUGAACUAGUUAACGACUUCGUAACUUCAAAAUAUGAAUAUGUCAUUUGUUUUUACGAAUUUAAUUAGCAUAUUUUAUGUAAUUUUUGAAAAUCAUAAGUUUAUUAAAAUAAACAACUACCUUAAAUUUUGUGAAAGAAGAGUUAGUAAAUGACUUAAUUAAUCAAACAAAUUAAAAGAUUGAAUACUAAAAUUAAAAUUUAAGGAAUUGAAGGUCCAAUCAAAAUAGUCUACAGUUCUGAAAAGUUCUAUACAUUUUUAGCUUUUAUUUACUC